UACGAAGGGGGGCUAGCGUUGCUCGGAAUCACUGGGCGUAAAGGGUGCGUAGGCGGGUCUUUAAGUCGGGGGUGAAAGCCCAGGGCUCAACCCUGGAAUUGCCUUCGAUACUGGAUAUCUUGAGUACGGGAGAGGUGAGUGGAACUCCGAGUGUAGAGGUGAAAUUCGUAGAUAUUCGGAAGAACACCAGUGGCGAAGGCGACUCACUGGCCCGUUACUGACGCUGAGGCGCGAAAGCGUGGGGAGCAAACAGG
rnacentral:rRNA from 1 species